CAUCCCUUGACAUCCAGAGAACUUUCUAGAGAUAGAUUGGUGCCUUCGGGAACUCUGAGACAGGUGCUGCAUGGCUGUCGUCAGCUCGUGUUGUGAGAUGUUGGGUUAAGUCCCGCAACGAGCGCAACCCUUAUCCUCAGUUGCCAGCACGUAAUGGUGGGAACUCUGUGGAGACUGCCGGUGAUAAACCGGAGGAAGGUGGGGACGACGUCAAGUCAUCAUGGCCCUUACGGGAUGGGCUACACACGUGCUACAAUGGCGCGUACAAUGGGAAGCAAGCUAGCGAUAGUAAGCGGAUCUCAAAAAGCGCGUCGUAGUCCGGAUUGGAGUCUGCAACUCGACUCCAUGAAGUCGGAAUCGCUAGUAAUCGUGGAUCAGAAUGCCACGGUGAAUACGUUCCC
rnacentral:rRNA from 1 species